GACACUUUGGCCGAGUGGUUUAAGGCGCAGGCCUGCUACUACACUACCUUAUUGUACUAGCUGUUUAGCCUGUGGGUUCGCCCGCCUGGGUUCGAGUCCCAGAGGUGUCG